GACGAACGCUGGCGGCGUGCUUAACACAUGCAAGUCGAGCGGAAAGGCUCCUUCGGGGGUACUCGAGCGGCGAACGGGUGAGUAACACGUGAGUAAUCUGCCCUGCGCUCUGGGAUAGCCACCGGAAACGGUGAUUAAUACCGGAUAUGACCGCUACACGCAUGUGUUGGUGGUGGAAAGUUUUUCGGCGCAGGAUGUGCUCGCGGCCUAUCAGCUUGUUGGUGAGGUAAUGGCUCACCAAGGCUUUGACGGGUAGCCGGCCUGAGAGGUUGACCGGUCACACUGGGACUGAGACACGGCCCAGACUCCUACGGGAGGCAGCAGUGGGGAAUAUUGGACAAUGGGCGGAAGCCUGAUCCAGCAACGCCGCGCGAGGGAUGACGGCCUUCGGGUUGUAAACCUCUUUCAGUACCGACGAAGCGCAAGUGACGGUAGGUACAGAAGAAGGACCGGCCAACUACGUGCCAACAGCAGCCGCCGUAA
rnacentral:rRNA from 1 species